CCUACGGGAGGCAGCAGUGGGGAAUAUUGCACAAUGGGGGAAACCCUGAUGCAGCGACGCCGCGUGAAGGAAGAAGUAUUUCGGUAUGUAAACUUCUUUUAGUAUGGAAGAAAAUGACGGUAUCUGUCUAAGAAGCCCCGGCUAACUACGUGCCAGCAGCCGCGGUAAUACGUAGGGGGCAAGCGUUAUCCGGAUUUACUGGGGUUAAAGGGAGCGUAGGCGGUGGAGCAAGUCAGAUGUGAAAGCGCGGGGCUCAACCCCAGGACUGCAGUUGAAACUGUUAGACUAGAGUACAGGAGAGGUAAGUGGAAUUCUUGGUGUAGCGGUGAAAUGCGUAGAUAUAAAGAGGAACACCAGUGGCGAAGGCGGCUUACUGGACUGUAAAUGACGCUGAGGCUCGAAAGCGUGGGGAGCAAACAGGAUUAGAUACCCUAGUAGUC
rnacentral:rRNA from 1 species